UGACGGCCACACUUUGAAUAAAAUGCUGGAAUGCUGGAAUACAUUACAUACUGGCGUCGGGAAGAACGAAUUCCUUAAAUGUUACAAAGUAAUUAAAAUUCUUGUAUUAAAAGGACGAAAUGUUUUUGCAGACGCUCAAUUUCCGGCAAUGGCUCAGACUAACCUCACCGUCAUGCAGGCUGUGAGUUUUCGGAAGUCGUUACCGUACGAGACCAAGUUGGCGACUAAGGCAUGUAUGAUGGAGGAAAGCAGAACCAGAUCAGACGGAUUGGUCAAUUUUGUAAACAAGACGCAUCAGAAGCAAUUGGCGAAAGACAAAAAGCAGCAGCCAUGUUCAAGGUGCCGAUAUCAUUAAUCACAGGAGUGCAAAUACAAGGACAUUAAUUGUCAUGAAUGUGGCAAAAUCUGUAAUCUUGCAACUGUAUGCAAAUAAACUAAAGGCAGAAAUGUAAA